rnacentral:rRNA from 1 species
GACGAACGCUGGCGGCGUGCCUAAUACAUGCAAGUCGAACGCUGAAGGAGGAGCUUGCUCUUCUGGAUGAGUUGCGAACGGGUGAGUAACGCGUAGGUAACCUGCCUGGUAGCGGGGGAUAACUAUUGGAAACGAUAGCUAAUACCGCAUAACAGUAGAUGUUGCAUGACAUUUGCUUAAAAGGUGCAAUUGCAUCACUACCAGAUGGACCUGCGUUGUAUUAGCUAGUUGGUGGGGUAACGGCUAACCAAGGCGAGGAUACAUAGCCGACCUGAGAGGGUGAUCGGCCACGCUGGGACGGAGACACGGCCCAGACUCCUACGGGAGGCAGCAGGAGGGAAUCUUCGGCAAUGGACGGAAGGCUGACCGAGCAACGCCGCGUGAGUGAAGAAGGGUGUCGGAUCGUAAAGCUCUGUUGUAAGAGAAGAACGAGUGUGAGAGUGAAAAGUUCACACUGUGACGGUAUCUUACCAGAAAGGGACGGCUAACUACGUG